GGGGAUAUAGCUCAGUUGGGAGAGCGCUUGACUGGCAGUCAAGAGGUCAGGGGUUCGAAUCCCCUUAUCUCCACCA
rnacentral:tRNA from 1 species